GGGUUGUACUGUCUCCUUUUUCCAAUCAGUGAAACUGAUCUCCCCGUGAAGAAGCUGGGAUUUUGAUAUAAGACGAGAAGACCCCAUGGAGCUUUAAAUUGCGUACUUACUUCAUGUUAAAACACCAAUGAAACUAAAAAAACCUAAGUACAAUUUUAGGUUGGGGCGACCGCGGAGUAUAAUACAACCUCCACAACAAACAGGCCACACCUUUAUCUACGAGCUACACCUCUAAGAAUUAACAUAUUAAUGUUUAAUGACCCGAAUAUUCGAUCAAUGAACCAAGUUACCCUGGGGAUAACAGCGCAAUCUAUUUCAAGAGUCCUUAUCGACAAAUAGGUUUACGACCUCGAUGUUGGAUCAGGGUAUCCAAGUGGUGCAGCCGCUACUAACGGUUCGUUUGUUCAACGACUAAAACCCUACGUGAUCUGAGUUCA
rnacentral:rRNA from 1 species